CUCUGCCCACCGCCCCUGCCCCCUACUCAUGCUCUCUCUCUCUUUCUCUCUCACUCUCUAAAAAAUAAACUUUAAAAAAAUACAAUAAAACCAUGGCAAUGAGCAACUUCCAAUGACUCAAGCAUCCAAGAUACUGGAGGUGAGACACAAUUCUCCAGCUUUGGAGAUAUUCUGCAGUUUUGGAGAUAAAGGCUGUGAGUGUGGGCAGAUGAAGGCCGCUAGGAGACCCCCCAGCUGAGACCCCCUAAGGCUAUAUCACAGGUCCUUUUUCGUAGGCUUUGUUUCCACCCCUGUUCCUUUCUCCCCCUGCCCUAGAGUUUGCUGUUUUGUUCAUGCAGGUAUUUUCCUUCCUGAGGCCACCAAGGAUUCGGAGCAUCCACAGGUUAUCUGUCCCAGUUCCCGGCUGGCUCCUCACCAGGCUCUGACCUCACCUCGGCGUCAGUCUUAUCAGGUGUGGACAGAACUGUCUCCCCGCUCCGGGAGUUCUGAGCCCUGGAUCCCCUCCACACCCAGGCAGAGGAGGGCCGGGCACCUUGGAGACUGAACGCUGCUGUCACCUGCCAAAUCCGGAGCAGCCACAGAGGUCUGCAAACGCAGCCACGAGGCGCAGAAGCAGGAAGGAAAGGGAAGGUUUACCAAGUAUUGACAAGGAACAGAGCAGAUGCUGAGUUCUGCCAAACAGGAGAGAAGGGAGGAGAGUGACAGUAAAAGCCAGCCACCCCCCCCCACUUCAGUCCUCAUGGGGAUCCCGGCAAAGGGCAGCAAGGUCACAGUGGGGCUCCAGUCUCCUCCAGAAUGUGCUUCCUCCCAGGGAGCAGGGAGAUCCAGCCCAGCCCCGUCUUCUGAGAAGCCAGCCUUGGGAUGAGUGAAAGGAAAGGGAGGAAGACGGCUGGGCACCAGGGAGCGGGCGUGUGCCCUUGGCUCCUGAGCCGCCAGGCACGGUACCAGCGGUUGGUGCCAACUCCUAUUCCACAGUCACCAAGGACACUUCCUGGUGACCGCAACUCUGGUUUGUUUAGCUUCGUGAGGUUGAGUGCUCCUUGGCGUUAAUGGCCUGGGGGUGAAGUGGGGAACGGGAUAUUUCAUUGGAAUUCGUUACACACAGGCUCCUUUGUCCUGCUGCUCCAGACGCUUGUUUGUUUGCACCGAGACUCUUGCCUUUGUUGGACUGGUUAGUGUCUGUCAGUAAAUGAUAACUUAUCUGAACUGUCCACAGAAUCAUAGUUGUGCAUAGUUCUCAGCAGCUCCACGCAUCAGCGUUUUCACAUUCUAGGGCCUGGAAUGGAGCGGGGGUGGGGGGGGGCGGUCAGAGCACCCCCAGUCCUCGCCUGGUCCCAUCCUGGGGUGGGAGAGGUCCGGGUGAGCAGGAACUGGCCGCGUUGCCCUUGUCAGCAAGAGGAACAAGUAGGGACACUGGGAAUCUGCAUCUGGACAACUGUGCCCGAGAGAAGAGGGGAGGCCCGAGGAACAGAAAGCAAGUCCUUCCCCACAGGUUAUACUCCACGAGCAGGCCCGUCGCAAUUACACCCUGCAAGCCACAGCCAGGAGGUCCUCCUGCAGAAAUGCUCACAGGCGUGCUGAUGAUGGACUGCAAGGUUGUUCGUUGCGAGCGUUGCUGGAAACGGCCGAAGUCUGGAAACAAGCUAAACGCUAUCAAUAAAGGCCUGAUUAAAUAAUUUAUGGUCUGUGCAUCCGAUGGCACACUCUGAAGAAAGCUUCUCGUACGCCGGUCGCAUUCCUGUGGUUUGACUGGUAGUGGCUGGGGAGGCUUCACAUGGCAAUGCCCAAACCCCCAGAAGAAAGAGAGCAACCCAUUGCAAACACUUUCCAGCCUUUACUUGCGUGAUGUUUGCUGAAGUCCCUUUGGCCAAAGCACCUCACACAACCAAGCCCAAAUUCAAGGGGGAGAAACAAACUCCAUGUCUUCGAGUACAGUGGACAUCAGUUUUAAUCUACCACAUGGUGGAGCAGAGCGACCCUGGAGGUGGGCACGGUUGGGCCCUGGAAGUAGCCUUCUUGAGGUUGCUGAUACCAGAGGGUCAGCUGCAGACUGGGGCCGCAGGCAGCUCCGAACAGGGAUGCUGGACCUGGAGGAAUUGCCGGAGAGCCGGGAAGAAAGGACACCUAAGGAGCUGCCUCCACAGCGUGGGUGCGACUAGCAGGCGAAAAACCCAAGGACGGCGUGGUAUUGGUGGUGACAGGGGAGGGUGCAAAACACUUGACGGUUUCAAACACACACACAGAGAGAUUGUGAGGGUGGGGAAUAAGAAGGGUGCCUUUCCAAAGAUUCCAGACAAAAGUUCUAGCGCUUAUGGGCAUGUCUGAAGGAAAAGAACUCAGUGAGAGAGAGUUUCUCGCCUCUUCUUUAUUACACAAAAUGGCCACAUGUGUACCCAGGCCUUGUGCCAGGGUGCACCUCGAGCCACCCACAUGGCCUGUGCCUGGCUCUGAGGGGGGAUCCCAUCUCAGAGUAGCUCUGAGAGUGCUAAGCACUCUGGGUGAGCCCUUCUGUGGGCAAACAGGGAAAAUCCUUCAUCAUCUCUACCCUGUCAUUUGGGGUCCCUAGCUAACCCUGAGAACUUUCUCCUCUGUUCCAAGUGUCUACUGAGAGCUUUGCCAGAGGCUGUGUUCCCUGAGGCCUUGCUCACUCCCUUCAUACACAUGCCUGGGAAUGCAUAUGUGUGCAUGUAUGGACAUUCAUGUAGCCGCUACAAGACAAGGAACCGAGAGAAGUGACCGUAGCACUUUCUAGGCAUCCAACUUUGUCCCCUGCUCCCACUCCAGGCCAAGUUAGGUGACCCUCCCUCUCAUCAUGCCCUCUGCCUAUUUUAUUGCUGAAUUUCCAUACUGUUUCAAAUUGUUCAGGGGUGCCUGGGUGGCUUAGUUGGUUAAGUGUCCGACUUCAGCUCAGGUCAUGAUCUCACAGAUUGUGAGUU